AAAACAUCGUGAGGGCAUUUCCUAAGCAUAUCCAUAAAUAUCUCCCAACUUUCAUAAAUAGUUCUCCUUCAUCUAGAAAAAAAAGUGAUAUAAUUUCUAAGUAU